ensembl:snRNA U1 U1 spliceosomal RNA
AUACUUACCUGGCAGGGGCGAUACCAUGAUCACGAAGGUGGUUCACCCAGGGCGAGGGUGCUGACCCUUGCAAAUUCCUCAAAUACGGGAAUCUCGAAUGCAUAAUUUCUGGUAGUCGGGGACUGCGUUCACACUAUUGCUAA